rnacentral:tRNA from 1 species
GCGGAUGUGGUGGAACGGCAGACACGCUACCUUGAGGGGGUAGUGCUCAAAUGAGUGUAAGGGUUCAAAUCCCUUCAUCCGCACCA